rnacentral:rRNA from 1 species
UACGGAGGGUGCAAGCGUUAUCCGGAUUCACUGGGUUUAAAGGGUGCGUAGGCGGGCAUUUAAGUCAGUGGUGAAAUACCUGAGCUUAACUUGGGAACUGCCAUUGAUACUAUUUGUCUUGAAUGUCGUGGAGGUUAGCGGAAUAUGUCAUGUAGCGGUGAAAUGCUUAGAUAUGACAUAGAACACCUAUUGCGAAGGCAGCUAACUACGCGAAUAUUGACGCUGAGGCACGAAAGCGUGGGGAGCAAAAGGG